rnacentral:rRNA from 1 species
CGGUGUUUAACUGGCGUGAUGUGGGACGUCCUACCGGUGGGCUUAGCCUCGCGAGGGGGCGGCCCAACUAAUAUCCCGUCGCGGUGCUCUUUACUGAGUGUCGAGGUCGGGCCGGUACGUUUACUUUGAACAAAUUAGAGUGCUUAAGCAGCUAUCCUCGCUGAAUACUGCGUGGCAUGGAAUAAUGGAAAUAGGACCUCCGGUUCUUAUUUGUUGGUUUUCGGAACCCCGAGGUAAUGAUAAUAGGGACAGAUGGGGCAUUCGUAUGCGACGUUAGAGGUGAAAUUCUUGGAUCGUCGCAAGACGGACAGAAGCGAAAGCAUUUGCCAAAAAUGUUUUCAUUAAUCAAGAACGAAAGUUAGAGGUUCGAAGGCGAUCAGAUACCGCCCUAGUUCUAACCAUAAACGAUGCCAGCUAGCGAUCCGCCGAAGUUCCUCCGAUGACUCGGCGGGCAGCUUCCGGGAAACCAAAGCUUUUGGGUUCCGGGGGAAGUAUGGUUGCAAAGCUGAAACUUAAAGGAAUUGACGGAAGGGCACCACCAGGAGUGGAGCCUGCGGCUUAAUUUGACUCAACACGGGAAACCUCACCAGGCCCAGACACCGGAAGGAUUGACAGAUUGAUAGCUCUUUCUUGAUUCGGUGGGUGGUGGUGCAUGGCCGUUCUUAGUUGGUGGAGCGAUUUGUCUGGUUAAUUCCGAUAACGAACGAGACUCUAGCCUGCUAAAUAGGCGUACCUUAUGGUAUCGCGAAGGCCCCCGGCUUCGGCCGGUGGGUUUUUACUACCAACGUACAAACAAAUCUUCUUAGAGGGACAGGCGG